rnacentral:lncRNA from 1 species
GAAUUGGAAGCCGAAGACCCGUGCGAAGGUCUUCGACAUACAGCGCCAGAUCGUCGGGCGGAGGGCUGUUAACCCGACCGUCGGCCCCUGGAGCGGAGAGCCGAAACUGCUCCGGGAUGCGAUAUUGCUCCCGAAGCCGAUCGACAUUCGGCCCCGAAAGCGAGGAGGCCUCAUCUUCUGGAGCCGAUCGGGAGUCGUCGGUCGGGUUCCCCGACCGAGCUCCCUGAGUCGGAUUCCUGGUCAUUGCACCGGAACCGAAUGAAGAAGAAGAAGAAAGAGAAGAAGAGGAAGAAGAAGAAGANNN